AUUAGUCCACUUGCUCCUUACUGUGGCUAGCCUUCUAAUUUUACCCUUCCACAUCUCACACUCAAACCCCCACUCUCCCAUUUUUAUAGAAACGAAAUUCCCCAAUCGGCCAAUAAUUUCUUCCUCUUUCAUCGGCGACGACGGCGUGGAUUUGACUGGAAAUUCCCUACAGGUUCAAGAGAACUAUGUAUCCAUAUUCUACCUCGAUUAGUGUCGAAAAUCUACCUUUCUUUUUCUAUGGUUUUACAAAUCGAAUUCCUCUUACAAAAUACGUGAUGAUGGCAAAAUAGUUCGUAAAAGUAAUAUUAACUUUGAGCUAUCUGUUUAGUAACAUAAGAUAUCUACAACAUAGCAACAGUUCUUGAUUUUCUCCUGCACUUACCCUUUUCUUGGUGAAGUAUCCUAAUAUUCUGACUUACGCAUAUAAAUUGGAACUAGAAUUUAAAAUUUUGUUGUUUGAUUCCUUCUUUUUUUCAAUUUUGUAAAGAAAUCAGACUAUAAUAUGCUUCUAAAUGUUUUCGAAUCGGGGAUUUAUAUGAAUUUUGAUCUUCAUUAUGUAAUUACAAGUGUUUGUAAUUUUCCUUGGAAUAUUGUUUUGUACUAAAUUUUUGAAAUUUUUUAAUGGCGUUUAUGGUAUAAUUAUAUGUUAUUGAGCAAAGAGGAUUCCUAGGUUUGUUUUGGAAUGGGAACGCAUGAAUUUGUGAUAUAAUGUUUUGUUUGCUUUUUAAUAAGGAUAUGCAAUGAGAAAGAUUGUUUUUGACGUUACAUGUUUCCUUCGUUUUGAUUUCAGUUUUCAGUGCUCAAUUUGUUUUCUCAGGGUUCAUGUUAGUAUUUUUUUGUUGAUUAAUUCUUUUAGGUUCUUUCAUAUGGGGUCUGGAAUGACGAGAAUUUGAAAUCAUGUUCUAUUCUUAUUAUUGAAUCUGCAUCACAUGUCCGACGACUUGCACAUCUAUGUUACUUGUUCUAAGACUUCGUUGCACAUAUUUUGCAAAACAAUUUCUUCAGGAUAAGUUCCUAAGCCGAUACUAACAAGCCAAACUUACUGUUUUUUCUUUUUCAGACUCUAUUUCCUUUCUAGUGGGCAAUACUUGUAGUGUUGUUAUAAAUUUAAAAUUUUGUAUGUAUACAUGUACCAAAACUCUGCAUCUCGUGUAUAUUUCAUUUUCCUUCUCAGACGCAUAUGGACUUCCACACUGCCUCAACUUCCAACCCCUAACCAAUCUCGACCCAAGCCUGUGCAAAGAGGACUGCCCAGUGGAUGCCAGAAGAUAAUCGAGUCUUCAUUAUCGCUUGUGAGAUCGUAAUAGUCGACGAGCACUGUAGUGGGAAGUGCUUCACGAAACAUGGCUGGCACACAAUUGUCCAAUUGGUCAACACCAUAUCCGGGCAUGAUUGGAGUAGGCAGCAGUUGAAAAAUCAUUAGGAUUAUCUUCGGGUCAAGUAUAAACGUCUCCAGAACUUGACAGAUAGCACCGACUUCGCAUACGACUCUGCACGUGACCACCUAGUCGAGUCCGAUGAGUGGUGGGUGCAAAAGAUUAAGGAGAACAAAGAGUUCAAAGACAAAGACUGUAGAGAGACAUAUGCCUAUCGACUUUUGUUCGUCGACACGUUUGACAGCGAGAAGUAUGCAACGACGUUGACGAAGCUGUGCAGGACUGGGUUUGCUAUGUUCGAAGACAGUGCAAACGACGACACGCGUGAUACAAUGCCGAUGUACGAAGAGAGCAGCGGCUCCAAUGAUGAGGGUAACAAGUUAGACAGGUCCACAUCAAGCAUGGACGUCUCCGACCGUAGGAGUGAAGAGAAACGUAGAUCCGAAGACAGUAAAAGCAAGGAAAAGAGAACUAAAAUAUCGGCUAAGGAAUUGUCGUACUCAGUUGAUUGAGCCACAACUUAGUCGGAUCCAAUGUUCCGAGCAUGAAGACAUGCAUGAAAGAGUUGUUCGCAACGCGCAUGAUGCAAAAGUAAACUUACCUCUACUUUUGGACCUGCACGUUUCUGUCUUUAAAGUGGAACAUGGAGGUUCUCGAGAUGCAGGAGGAUGCGAACGAGAAAAUGGAUUGGUUGGAGUAGAACUGGCACGAGUAUAGGAAAAGACGACCGCAAUGAGAACUGCGUGCGGGGCUGAAUAAAUUUUAAACGUUAUAGAGGGUCUUCGUGGAACGAGUAUUUGCUUUGUUAUUUUUUUCGUUUUAGUUGGUUUGCGAUUCGUCAACUUCAAAAUGUUGUUGUCGUGUAUUUUUUGUAUCCAUGUAUGUAGUAGGAACUACUGAGAUUUCAUGUCCAUGUUUGUCGUUUGUACUUAUACAAUGUUCACAAAACUGCUUGUUAGUUUGAGUUUGUCAACAAUUGUCAUGCAUAAUUGAGCAUCUCUGACAACCUA